rnacentral:rRNA from 1 species
UAACGCGUGGGUAACCUGCCUCAUACAGGGGGAUAACAGUUAGAAAUGACUGCUAAUACCGCAUAAGCGCACAGGACCGCAUGGUCCGGUGUGAAAAACUCCGGUGGUAUGAGAUGGACCCGCGUCUGAUUAGCUGGUUGGUGAGGUAACGGCCCACCAAGGCGACGAUCAGUAGCCGACCUGAGAGGGUGGCCGGCCACAUUGGGACUGAGACACGGCCCAAACUCCUACGGGAGGCAGCAGUGGGGAAUAUUGCACAAUGGGGGAAACCCUGAUGCAGCAACGCCGCGUGAGUGAAGAAGUAUUUCGGUAUGUAAAGCUCUAUCAGCAGGGAAGAGAAUGACGGUACCUGACUAAGAAGCCCCGGCUAACUACGUGCCAGCAGCCGCGGUAAUACGUAGGGGGCAAGCGUUAUCCGGAUUUACUGGGUGUAAAGGGAGCGUAGACGGCUGUACAAGUCUGAAGUGAAAGCCCGUGGCUCAACCGCGGAACUGCUUUGGAAACUGUAAAGCUGGAGUACUGGAGAGGCAGGCGGAAUUCCUAGUGUAGCGGUGAAAUGCGUAGAUAUUAGGAGGAACACCAGUGGCGAAGGCGGCCUGCUGGACAGAAACUGACGUUGAGGCUCGAAAGCGUGGGGAGCAAACAGGAUUAGAUACCCUGGUAGUCCACGCGGUAAACGAUGAAUGCUAGGUGU